UGACCUCGGAUCAGGUAGGAAUACCCGCUGAAC
rnacentral:rRNA from 5 species